GACGAACGCUGGCGGCGUGCUUAACACAUGCAAGUCGAACGGAAAGGCCCUGCUUUUGUGGGGUGCUCGAGUGGCGAACGGGUGAGUAACACGUGAGUAACCUGCCCUUGACUUUGGGAUAACUUCAGGAAACUGGGGCUAAUACCGGAUAGGAGCUCCUGCUGCAUGGUGGGGGUUGGAAAGUUUCGGCGGUUGGGGAUGGACUCGCGGCUUAUCAGCUUGUUGGUGGGGUAGUGGCUUACCAAGGGUUCGACGGGUAGCCGGCCUGGGAGGGUGACCGGCCACAUGGGGACUGAGAUACGGCCCAGACUCCUACGGGAGGCAGCAGUGGGGAAUAUUGCACAAUGGGCGGAAGCCUGAUGCAGCAACGCCGCGUGCGGGAUGACGGCCUUCGGGUUGUAAACCGCUUUCGCCUGUGACGAAGCGUGAGUGACGGUAAUGGGUAAAGAAGCACCGGCUAACUACGUG
rnacentral:rRNA from 1 species